UACACCCUACGGGGGGCAGCAGUAGGGAAUCUUCCACAACGGACGAAAGUCUGAUGGAGCAACGCCGCGUGAGUGAAGAAGGGUUUCGGCUCGUAAAGCUCUGUUGGUAGGGAAGAAAGAUAGAGGUAGUAAAUGGCCUUUAUUUGACGGUAAUUACUUAGAAAGUCACGGCUAACUACGUGCCAGCAGCCGCGGGAAUACGUAGGUGGCAAGCGUUGUCCGGAUUUAUUGGGCGGAAAGGGAGCG
rnacentral:rRNA from 1 species